rnacentral:rRNA from 1 species
UGACCUCUUCGUGAAGAGGCGAAGAUAAAAAUAUAAGACGAGAAGACCCCAUGGAGCUUAAAACCAAACAAUACUCUUUUGCAUAUAAACCCUAAAAAAUAAAAGAUCUGUUGACUAGUUUUUGGCUGGGGCAUCCAAGGAGUAUAACAUAACCUCCCUGACGAACAUCUAAGAAUAACAACUCCAAGAAACAGUAAACUGACGUAACAUGACCCGACAAUCGAUCAACGAACCAAGUUACCCUGGGGAUAACAGCGCAAUCCAUUUCAAGAGCCCCUAUCGACAAAUGGGUUUACGACCUCGAUGUUGGAUCAGGGUAUCCCAGUGGUGCAGCCGCUACUAAAGGUUCGUUUGUUCAACGAUUAAAACCCU